GUGCCUAAUACAUGCAAGUCGAACGGCAGCACGGGUGCUUGCACCUGGUGGCGAGUGGCGAACGGGUGAGUAAUACAUCGGAACAUGUCCUGUAGUGGGGGAUAGCCCGGCGAAAGCCGGAUUAAUACCGCAUACGAUCCACGGAUGAAAGCGGGGGACCUUCGGGCCUCGCGCUAUAGGGUUGGCCGAUGGCUGAUUAGCUAGUUGGUGGGGUAAAGGCCUACCAAGGCGACGAUCAGUAGCUGGUCUGAGAGGACGACCAGCCACACUGGGACUGAGACACGGCCCAGACUCCUACGGGAGGCAGCAGUGGGGAAUUUUGGACAAUGGGCGAAAGCCUGAUCCAGCAAUGCCGCGUGUGUGAAGAAGGCCUUCGGGUUGUAAAGCACUUUUGUCCGGAAAGAAAUCCUUGGCUCUAAUACAGUCGGGGGAUGACGGUACCGGAAGAAUAAGCACCGGCUAACUACGUGCCAGCAGCCGCGGUAAUACGUAGGGUGCAAGCGUUAAUCGGAAUUACUGGGCGUAAAGCGCACGCAGGCGGUCUGUC
rnacentral:rRNA from 1 species